UGAGCUGCUUUAUCACCUUUCGUUCAAAUCUAAAUUAAUUUGGAUUGUUAAUGAUGGGUUGGUAGAUUAGUGGAUUGCUUAAGAGAAGACUACUCAACCAAGUUCUCAAAAAUUCAUAUUAAAUUGUUUAUCAAUUGUUAAUGAUGACAGACAUUCUCCAUUCCCCCCACCAAUCGCUUCACCUUUUAUUGCGAAAAAGAAAGAGAUGCACUGUGUACUAAGUUCAAGACAACGGUUAAUAUAAAGUCUGAUUUUUAUGUUUUUUAAGAAUUAAGCACUGGGAUAUUUAUUGACCGGAGCCUGUAUGCAAGUUUGAUUGUUUUGAGUGGAAGGGUCCUAAUGGUCUAAUAGAGCAUUAUUAGGAAUUUGAACCAAUGAAAAGCUGCUUACCUUGGCCAAUGAUUUUAUAACAGGUUAAUCUUUAUUCAUUAGUUCCAAUGCUUAAACAGUACCAAAACUCAAAUCUUAUUGGCUUCAAGGAUCUACUUUUUGAGCACUAGACUUUGUUGUCAAUUUUCAGUCAAUCGGAAUUACUAUCUCGGUUUAGUGCUAUUUUUGUUGGCAAUUUUCCUUGAGGCCACACAAUUCCCUUAAUUCUCUGCUUGCGGAGUUCUUGAACUAAAGUCGCGAAUACAAUCAAAGAAUCGCGUUCCAUGUACAAAGUCGUGUUGAACUUGCCCAAGCAUAAUUUGCAGCAAACCUGUGCAUUUUUCUUCGCUCUGACAACAAUGGAUUUUCCAUUUUUUCUGCUAUAAACCGUCUUGCAAUCUACAUAGAAAUCAGUAAUCUACGUACUAAUUAGCAGGAAAAUUUGUAAUAAGAAAAAAGUGGAUAGACCUGGAUCCGGAAAACAAAAAUGGUGGCUGCGUCUGGAAUUAAUGCCUUCGCCAAAGAGAUAGCCAUUCGCAAACGCAUUGCCAACAUGUAUGUUUUUUCUUUUUAAUAUACAAAUAUUUUACUUAUUUAUGUUUUUAUGUGAAAUACAAAAAUGGGUUUUGGGCUUUUGUUGUGCUUUUAAUUGAUCAUAAAACCUAUGCAACUUUUGUUCCUUUUUAGGGGUUUUUCAUUAUUUUGUAUAAAGGUGGAAAUUUAUUGGAUUGUUUAUUUUGUUAGGCAACUGGAAUUACUUAUGCAUAG
rnacentral:lncRNA from 1 species